CUUAGGAGGAAAAGCGACCUGUUGCUCUUUCUUAAGGGACGCCGGCUGGCCAGGCUUGUGCUCAGGGAGACUACGAUGGCAAAGCUUUUGGACUUGGGGACAGAAACAUCAGUGGUAUUUCCUCUCCAGGAAAAAAAUAAAAAAUAAAAAAAAAGAUUUGCUGAGCACUUCCGAUGUGCAGGUAUUGUUCUGAGUGUGUAGAUGUCACUCUUUACCUAAUGUGUGCCACCUAAGGAGGGAGAGACUACUGGUGUCCCUAUUUUACAGAUAAGGAAACUGAGGCUUCGAGAGGUAAGGUAACUCACCCAAGGUCACACGGUGCCUAAAACGGGGUGAUUACUCCAGAACCCUAGUUAAUAGCCUGGCCCACUAGUGGUUGGGCUGGAAAAAGGGUGAAAGAAAGCUUUUAACCAAAGUUGUAAAGGUGGGUGUGUGUGGGGUGGUUGUGUUUUUUUUUUUUGCUAGUGGGACCACUUUGAAAUCUUUAGUCUGAACGAAACUGAAAAACUGCAAAUUGAAUUGCUAACCCCAAAUAUUGUGCGUGUGUGCGUGCUCGCGCGUGCGCUAAAUGAGACUCUAGGAUUGAGUUUUGGAAGAUCCCUGAUCCUGAGAAAACAUAAAUUAUUCCCUUGAGCUGCAAGGCAGUGACUGUAGAAUCAGAUCUGGCAUUAUAAUCCUGCCUGUUGCUUCCUAGCUCGCAUCGGGAGAAGUCACUUAGGUGUCGGAUGCAGUAACACAUGGAAAGUAUCUAGCGUAUCCUCAAUAAAUGUUACUUUUCUUUUUUUGAGUCUUCAUUUCCUCCUCUCUAGACAGAGCAAGGGGGCAGUGUUAUCAAAGGAUAUAACACAGUGUCGGAAGCCUAGAAGAGCUCCGUACAUAUCAGAACAGAUUCUUGUCCACCUUCAAUAAUGUUAGUUCCUUUUUCUUAAGUGCUCUGGUUUCCAGAAUCCUCCGUUAAGGCUGACAUGCCUGUCUUUGUAACUGCUGCUUUAUGUAUCGAAAAAUUUUAGGGGCUUUAAUGUUACAGAUUUUGUAUUGGUCCUCAAGUUCAGGAAUACUGGUGCCUCUAAGUCAGUGGUUCUCAACCUUCUGGCCCUUUAAAUACAGUUCCUCAUGUUGUGACCCAACCAUAAAAUUAUUUUCGUUGCUACUUCAUAACUGUCAUGUUGCUACUGUUAUGAAUCGUCAUGUAAAUAUCUGAUAUGCAGGAUGGUCUUAGGCGACCCCUGUGAAAGGGUCGUUCGACCGCCAAAGGGGUCGCGACCCACAGGUUGAGAACCGCUGCAGGAGCUUAUGUUUAGUUUAAGUUCAGUGAAAUAAAUUUGGUGGCGAUUUACUCCCAUUUUUACAGAAACUACCUCAGAGAAGAUAACACAGUAAGUAGUAAAGCCAGAAUGAGAUUCUUACCUAUUUUGCUGCACAUAAGCCUCUUGGAAGACUUAAGGUGUGAAGUAAAGUAGUCCUUUUCCAGUAGACUUUGAAAGUUCUUCAGUGGAGCAACAAAACCUGACCAAGGUCCUGAAAGGGAUUUUUUUUUUUUUUAAUAUAGUUUUAUUGCUUUCAGAGAGGAAGCGAGAGGGAGUGAGAGAGAUAGAAACAUCAAUGAUGAGAGUCAUUGAUCGGCUGCCUCCUGCACGUCCCCCACCAGGGACCUAGCCCGCAACCCAGGCAUGUGCCCUUGACUGGAAUCGAACAUGGGACCCUUCAGUUCACAGGCUGACGCUCUAUCCACUGAGCCAAACCGGCCAGGGCCUGAAAGGGAUUUUUAAUCUAGAGUCAGGCUGCCUCCCCUUGUCUCCCCAACUCCAUAUCAGGUACCUCUCCCUGUCCCACCCUGUCUUUCCGACCUUUUGUUUUGGCUGAUCCUUAUACCAUGGGAGUGAAACUAAUGUAAGGCUACAUUUAAUCCUAACAUCAAAUCUGAGUUAGUUUGGGUUUUCCUCAUUUAUAAAUGAGUAAACUGAGGCUUUGAGAUUAGGUGAUGGUCCAAGGCUGGUGGCCUGCACCACACCCACAUAAAUGUAGAACCUGUUGUAUUUCACUGCCUCUCUGGUGUACUCUCCUUGAGCUCUGCCCUAUAUGCGAUGCUAUUUCUCCUGUGCCAAACUUCACUAGCCUUACCAGACCUUUGUAGUGAUUUCACUGCCAUUAGGAGCCCUGUGGGGUGAUAUUUGGAAUUCUGGAAGUUACUUAUUCUAACCCUCCCUGGCAGAGACCAUAACCUCUCAAGACUAAGUGUUGGCAGACACUGGUGGUUUUAUCACCAUUCCUUGCCACCUUGCUAACCAGGAAUCUGGAAGCCCCUCCCAGCCCCAGCGAUAGGUCUUGAUUAAUAUAAACUCUAAACCAGGGGUCCUCAAACUUUUUAAACAGGGGGCCAGUUCACUGUCCCUCAGACCGUUGGAGGGCCGGACUAUAGU